CUUACCGGAUGUUACAGUUGCGUUUCUUCAUUCACCAAAGUCAGACAGCGCCCGGUGAAAGUCUUGUGCGAUUCUCUUGGCGUAGAUGUGUGAACGGUGGAGAAGAAGAGUAGAGUAAAAGUGGCUAAAGUUGGAAAUGAACAGCAGUUUAUGGUGUGAGUGCUAUUCACGAGCAAUGAUAUAUUUUUUGGUUGACCCAGUUUACGGACUCGAAGAUGGUGAAUGACGAAUUAGUCAACGUUCACCUGGAUCGGGUGCAAGCAGGCUGGGAGGAAACAAGUGGCCCGUACCACGUCGAGGCUUGCGGAUCACUAUGGGAUCUUCAAGGAUCUGUUCCCCAUGGCCUACUUCGUCCCCCGGGUCACACUGCGCAUCAGCUACGUCCAAGACAGCUCAGCACAAGUACAUUAUGGGAAUCACUUGAUGCCCAAAGAGGCUUCUGUAGCACCUCAGGUCAGUUUUGUGGCAGAGUAGGGCUCCCUAUGGACACUGCUGCGCACCAGCCCAGGCAAGACACUCGUACACCAUUUGAGAAUACGAGUUUUGUAAUCCAGUUCUUAACAUGUCCACAUGGUGACACUGUGUCCCCAUACGAAUGUAUGACUAAAUAAAUAUUUACUGAAUGAUUCCUUCAUUUCAGAUGAGCAUCUGCUGGAUAGUGAAGGGGAGUGUGUGCACUGGCUGGUUGGGAACAUCCCAGGUGGGGGCUGUGACGGCAGGAGAGGACCUGUCAAUAUCUGGCCCCGAUCCCUGCCAAGGCUACUGGCUUUAACCGCUUUGUCUACAUCAUGUUCAGACAGGAAGGAACCAUCAACUUCCAUGAAGACAUCUGACCAUCACCAUGGUGACUAACAGGACAUACAAGUAUCAUUUGUGCUCCAUGACCACCAUCCAUCUGUUCAUUUCACACUAACACGCUUCCCCCCUCUCUGCUCCUCGAGUGCAUCUCUGUCACAGCGGAUAUUUAAGACUGUAGAUUUCUACAGGAAGCACCAGGACCGCAUGACUCCAGGAGGCGCCUCUCUCUUCCAGGGUUGGAGAGUCAUGCUUUACAGGAUGGUAGGAAGUCACAGGAUUGCUGUAGGGGUGGAGAUCUUUGGAUUAGGCAUCAACGGGGGUUGAGGUCAAGGGAGAAACAAUGGUUUUACACUAUCACUUCGUCUUCCUGUUGAACCAUAAAAUAUGUAAGGAUUGGAAGGACUGGAGAAGUUCCCACAUUGGAGUAUAUAUACACUGGUGGUGGAAACAUUUUGUCUGAAUGCAGCUAUAUCGACCCUCUGGGCAGAAUAAACUUGGUUAAGCGUU